CAACUGCUUCUCCUCUUCUCCUUCAUUUUAUGUCAUUCUUUCCUCUGUUUUUCAUUGAGUUGUUGUCUGCAGUGUUCCUUCUUCCUCUCCACCUUGUUUUCAGAUUUUUCUUUUCCCUCUGCAAGUCAGCAAACGCCACCACUCAUUCCUCCAUCUUCGGCUGGUGAUGUUUCCAUUUCCAUAUCAUUAAUUUUCGGUUUCCCUUUUCGCUGUAAAACCGUGCAAAUCUUUUCCUCUUUAGCAUAUAUUUUUUUCAUAUGAUUUUCUCUCCAUUUGCAGGUCUGUCCGUGAGCCUCCAUUAUUGUGCUUUCUCUUAACUCUCCCUUACUAAUUUCAUGGCUCAUGCUUGUGAUUUAUCCCCAUUGCUUUCCCUUUUUGGUUUGGUCCUUCACUAUCCUGUUGUGUUUUAUUUUUGCCGUACCCUGUUUUUGCCAUAAAACUCGUAACCUUCACUCGUAUCUUGGUAUUUUGGUGCUUGCCGUGAGUGUGUGUUCUGCUAUUGCUUGUUGCCUCUCGGUUUCCCUUGAGUGACGAUUGACAAUUGUUCAGCACUGUUAUGGAGAAUUUCUGAAUAAGCUAAGAAACCCAGAUAUUUUUAUGGUUCAGCUAGAGAACAAUAAUAUGAAGUAUUGGAACAGUCUGAUGAUCAUAAAUGAAUGAGUGCUAAGGGUACGAGUAUUUUUGGAGGAUCAUAUUUAGUAGUUUUAUCUCUAACGGUUAUUUUGGUACGCCAAGUUAUGAUUAAUUUGGGUCUUUGUGGAGACGUUAUUUGUUAUAUUGAGGUUUUGUUUACUAUUUAUGUGGAAGGAUACGGAUUUUUGGAUCGAAGAAAUAAGUUAAGUAUUUUGUGGAGUUUUCGUUUAUUUAUUAUUGAUUAUUGGAGAUGUUGUUGAG